CUGAUGAACUGAUGGAGAACAACAAAAAGAAAACCCUUUGAUCCUGAUGCAAGAAACAUUGAGUGGCUCCAGAGCUGUGUUAUUAGACUCAUACAGAAAAUCUGAGACUAUCGCUUGGCUCUACAAUGAAUGAUAUUUAUAUAGAAGCAACCUCAGAGAAGAUAUGACCAUCUAGUUUCAGGAAGACAAGCUCAGGUCUCCC
rnacentral:lncRNA from 10 species